AAUCUCAGUUCAGACUGCAGACUGCAACUCGCCUGCACGAAGUCGGAAUUGCUAGUAAUCGUAGGUCAGCAUACUACGGUGAAUACGUUCCCGGGCCUUAUACACACCGCCCGUCAAACCAUGAGAGUUGGCAACACCCGAAGUCGGUAGUCUAACCGCAAGGAGGACGCCGCCGAAGGUGGGGUAGAUGAUUGGGGUGAAGUCGUAACAAGGUAAC
rnacentral:rRNA from 1 species